AGGGGUAUAGCUCAGUGGUAGAGCACAUGCUUAGUAUGCAUGAAGCCCUGGGUUUGAUCCCCAGUACUAAAA
rnacentral:tRNA from 1 species